rnacentral:lncRNA from 1 species
ACCACCACCAGCUCACCCAGGAACGUGACCCUCUGGACGACAGCAUGCCCCUAGACGACGCCCUCCUGGGGUACAGGCCGCCCUCUGUCUUCCCGUCAAGACAGGCGACGAGUCAUCUGACGGACGGCGACCUGGGCGUGUCGGCGGGACAUCUCGUCAACACGAAGGUGGCCGUGCCGGG